UACGAAGGGGGCUAGCGUUGUUCGGAAUUACUGGGCGUAAAGCGCACGUAGGCGGAUAUUUAAGUCAGGGGUGAAAUCCCGGGGCUCAACCCCGGAACUGCCUUUGAUACUGGGUAUCUCGAGUCCGAGAGAGGUGAGUGGAAUUCCGAGUGUAGAGGUGAAAUUCGUAGAUAUUCGGAGGAACACCAGAAGCGAAGGCGGCUCACUGGCCCAAUACUGACGCUGAGGCGCGAAAGCGUGGGGAGCAAACAGG
rnacentral:rRNA from 1 species